UACGAAGGGUGCAAGCGUUAAUCGGAAUUACUGGGCGUAAAGGGUGCGUAGGCGGUUCGUUAAGUCUGUCGUGAAAUCCCCGGGCUUAACCUGGGAAUGGCCGUUGAAACUGGCGAACUGGAGUGUGGCAGAGGGGGGUGGAAUUCCGCGUGUAGCAGUGAAAUGCGUAGAGAUGCGGAGGAACACCGAUGGCGAAGGCAGCCCCCUGGGCUAACACUGACGCUCAGGCACGAAAGCGUGGGGAGCAAACAGG
rnacentral:rRNA from 1 species